GCGCCCGUAGCUCAGUUGGAUAGAGCGUCGGACUUCGAAUCCGCAGGUCG
rnacentral:tRNA from 1 species